GAGUUUGAUCCUGGCUCAGGACGAACGCUGGCGGCGUGCUUAACACAUGCAAGUCGAGCGGAAAGGCCCUUCGGGGUACUCGAGCGGCGAACGGGUGAGUAACACGUGAGUAAUCUGCCCCAUGCUUCGGGAUAGCCACUCGAAAGGGUGAUUAAUACCGGAUAUGACCACCUUCGGCAUCGGAUGGUGGUGGAAAGUUUUUCGGCGUGGGAUGUGCUCGCGGCCUAUCAGCUUGUUGGUGGGGUAAUGGCCUACCAAGGCUUCGACGGGUAGCCGGCCUGAGAGGGUGAUCCGGCACACUGGUACUGAGACACGGACCAGACUCCUACGGGAGCAGCAGUGAGGAAUAUUGGUCAAUGGGCGCAAGCCUGAACCAGCCAUGCCGCGUGCAGGAUGAAGCAUCUAUGGUGUGUAAACUGCUUUGUACGGGAAGAAACACUCCUACGUGUAGGGGCUUGACGGUACCGUAAGAAUAAGGAUCGGCUAACUCCGUGCCAGCAGCCGCCGUAAC
rnacentral:rRNA from 1 species